GAUGAAGAACGUAGUGAAAUGCGAUACUUGGUGUGAAUUGCAGAAUCCCGUGAACCAUCGAGUCUUUGAACGCAAGUUGCGCCCGAAGCCAUUAGGCCGAGGGCACGCCUGCCUGGGCGUCACACGUCGUUGCCCCCCCAUCUACUCCUUCGGGAUUGCGGUGGGCGGAUGAUGGCCUCCCGUGCGCCUCGCCGCGCGGUUGGCAUAAAUGCCAAGUCCUCGGCGACGCACGCCACGACAAUCGGUGGUUGCGAAACCUCGGUUGCCCGUCGUGUGCGGUCGUCGCGCAUCGAGGGCUCGAAAAAAUUGCCGGGUUCCGGCUCGGCUUUCAACGCGACCCCAGGUCAGGCGGGGUUACCCGCUGAAUUUAAGCAUAUCAAUAAGCGGAGGA
rnacentral:misc_RNA from 1 species